rnacentral:misc_RNA from 1 species
AACGCAUAUUGCGCUGGAGGCUUCGGCCAACAGCAUGUCUGCCUCAGCGUCGGGUUAAUAUCACUCCCCCAUUCCCCUGUGGAAUAUUGUGGGAGUGGAUCUGGUCGUUCCAGCUCCUGGGUCGGCGACGACUGCAUAGCCAUGAUUUUAUCAUCAUUGUCAUGCACAUCAUCUCCGUAUCAGCCCGGCUGGAUCGGCUGAAGCACAGAGGCUAACCAAGGACCCGUCAAGGGCCGCAACUGGGUAGGCAUAUCGCUGCACAAGCAGCAAUGCUAUUCGCUUAGUUGUUGGUCUGGGACUUUGAUUGUUCGGCCCUCAACACCAGGAACCCACCCUUCAUUUUCUCGACCUGAGCUCAGGCAAGAACACCCGCUGAACUUAA